AUGGCUUGUAAUUACAAGAGGAACAGAAUCAGCAAAGUUGUUAUCAGAUGGAAUAAAUAUCUGUGGAGUGGAUCUUAGUUUGAGACUACGUGUAGGAAAGCAUGAAUUCCAUGUAUAACAUUAUGAUAUGACUAGUCGGAAGACAUUGCCACCAAGAGGGACGAACCAAAAGUGAAGCAGGGGGACGCUAAUUGAACAUUUGAGAAAUGUUGUCAAACAAGGUGAAAAGUAGAUGGGACUCAAACUGCUCAACUGCAGUCACUAAUUGAACAUUUGGGGAAUGUUGUCAAACAAGGUGAAAAGUAGAUGGGACUCAAACUGCUGAACUGCAG
rnacentral:lncRNA from 1 species